CAGAUAGAUGCGUGCUGUGUUCUACUCUGACGCCUGAAGGUUGAUUUGAUUUUUUUUUAAAGCAGUUGCGUGUACUGUUCACGUGAACGGGGCAUGUUGAAUCCCAACGAAUCAAUCCUGGAUUCUCGCGUUUGCAAAGAAGAAAAAAGAGCAGUGACAGCCACGGCUAGCGGAGAAGCUGAAGAACUGGAAAAGCCUCUCGCUUCAUUCAAGUCUCAUGUAUGGGAGCGUUUUGGCUUCCCUGUCAAAUAUGAUGACGGAAGAAGGGUGGUGGACAACACCAUUACGGUGUGUAGGCAUUGUGCCACAAGAAAGCGGUAUGAUCAUGGCCACACAUUUAAAGCGUCAUCAGCCUGGUGUGUCAGUGACGGGAGCCAACUCAGCCAAGAAACAACAACUUCUCACUGCGACAUUUAAGCAGCCCUUUGCUGCAGAAUCAGACCAGACUAAAGCCAUCACCAAAUCUAUUGGGAUGUUUAUCGCUGCAGACAUGAGUCCACAUUAUGUUGUGGAAAACAAAACUUUUAAAAUACGGUGAAAGUGCUUGAGCCACGCUACGAAAUCCCCUGGCGCACCCACUUCAGUAUGAAGAUCGUUCCAGAUCUUUAUGAACAGGAAAAUAUCAUAAUUGAGCACUGAAACGGCACUGUCUGUGUCUAUGAUCCUACCUCUGAAAACAAGGAUUCUACAAUCCAUGUCCCCAAGUGAGGAAGACAGCACCAUCACUAGAGAUGCCAAGGCUGCCAUUAGAGAGGACCUGAACCCCAGAUACCCCCCUAAUGUACAGGACUACCUUCAUAGAUCUACUGCACCGGAUCCAAGGUUCAAGUCCCUGUCUCACCUAGACCCUGCCCUACGCUGGAAAACAUACAGUGAGCUCACCACUGAGAUUGUGGCCACUGAAGAGGGUCAAGCCACAGAGCCAACAGGAGCAGACUCGGAGGCAUCUCCUCCACAAAAUAAUUUGGCCAUGAAGGAGCUUUUCGGGGAGACCUUUAUGAGCAAGGACACAAGCAAGAGGGUAUUCUCCACAGCAGGGGCCAUAGUGACUGCAAAGAGGUCGACCCUCUCCCAGACUAUGUAGAGAUUCUCAUCUUUUUGAAAAAUUAUUUGAAGUUAUAAGCUCAGGUCUGUUUUGCUUUCUUUCUUUACUUUUUUUUUAAUGCCAAUUCCCUAUCACAGCAUGCCAAUUCCCUAUCACAGCAUGCCAAUUCCCUAUCACAGCAUGCCAAUUCCCUAUCACAGCAUGCCAAUUCCCUAUCACAGCAUGCCAAUUCCCUAUCACCUCUGGCGUACAGGGGGGUACUGUCACGCCCUGACCAUAGAGAGCCCUCUGGGUUCUCUAUGGUGUAAUAGGUCAGAGGGUGACUAGGGGGGUUUCUAGGUGUUGUGUUUCUGUGUUGGUGUGUGUAUGGUUCCCAAUUGAAGGCAGCUGAUAAUCAUUGCUUCUAAUUGCGGAUCAUACUUAGUGUGUUCCUUUUCCCACCUGCGAUGUGGGAUAUUGAUUUUGUAUAGUGCCUAUGUGCGCUACGUAUUUGCACGUUUGUUAAUUCUUUGUUGUUUUGGGAAGUUUCACUUUAAUAAAAAUGUGGAACUCUA